CAGCGCCACGAGUGGGGAUCAUGUUUAUUGGGCCUAAAGCGUCCGUAGCCGGUUUGAUAAAUCUUUUGUGAAAUUGUCGUGCUUAACAUGACAGCGUGCAAAGACACUAUUUAACUUGGAACUGGGAGGAGUCAGAGGUAUUCUAGGGGGAGCGGUAAAAUGUUAUAAUCUCUAGAGGACCACCUGUGGCGAAGGCGCCUGACUAGAACAGCUUCGACGGUGAGGGACGAAAGCUAGGGGAGCAAAACGGAUUAGAUACCCGAGUAGUCC
rnacentral:rRNA from 1 species